GACGAACGCUGGCGGCGGGCUUAACACAUGCAAGUCGAACGGAAAGGCCCUGCUUUCGUGGGGUGCUCGAGUGGCGAACGGGUGAGUAACACGUGAGUAACCUGCCCUUGACUUUGGGAUAACUUCAGGAAACUGGGGCUAAUACCGGAUAGGAGCUCCUGCUGCAGGGUGGGGGUUGGAAAGUUUCGGCGGUUGGGGAUGGACGGGCGGCUUAACAGCUUGUUGGUGGGGGAGUGGCUUACCAAGGCUUUGACGGGUAGCCGGCCUGAGAGGGUGGACGGGCACCAUGGGACUACGGGACGGCCCAGACUCCUACGGGGGGCAACAGUGGGGAAUUUUGCACAAUGGGCCGGAGCCUGAUGAAGCAACGCCGCGUGCGGGAUGACGGCCUUCGGGUUGUAAACCGCUUUCGCCUGUGACGAAGCGUGAGUGACGGUAAUGGGUAAAGAAGCACCGGCUAACUACGUG
rnacentral:rRNA from 1 species